ensembl:snRNA U1 U1 spliceosomal RNA
AUAUUACCUGGCAGGAGAGAUAUCGUGAUCAGGAAAGUGACUUUCCCUAGGUGAGGCUUAUCCGUUACUUUCCAGAUGUGCUAACCCUGUGAUUUCCCCAGCUGUGAGAAACUCAACUAUGUAUUUUGUGGUAGUGGAGAGCAAUGGUCAUGCUCUUUC